rnacentral:lncRNA from 1 species
CUUGAAUCACAGGACUGAAUAAGGAAGAGCUGCCCUCAGCGUGGCCGGGCAACAUCUAAUCGGCUGAAAGCUUGGAUCGAAUGAAAAGGCAGAGGAAAGGUUCUGAAGACCUCAAAUGGACUGAGCCACACUACCAGCAUCCAGCAUCCAUGGUUCUCCAGUCUGCAGAUGGCCUAUUAUGGGACUUUUCAGUCUUCAUAAUUAUAUGAGAGAAAGAAAAUGAAAAGGAUUUGUAAACUAUAAAUCUCUAAACAGAUGGGAGGAAAGGAAUUGAUGAAACAAUAAAUUUAUUGAUGAAACAAUAAAAAUAAACAUAAAGAACCAAAGACACACAGCUGGCAUUUGAUUUCUGAAGUUACCAUGGAUUGAAUGCUGAUUUCAAAAGGAGCCAGAAAAGCGAAGGUAAAGUGUAUAGGCUGAGAGCUUUGAUGUGCCAGAAACCAUGAAGGAUAUUUUGUAAAACUUCACUUGCUCUUCUCAACAUUUUCAGUACAUUUUAUCAAUCCUAUUUUACAGGUGAGGAAACGGAAACUCAUGAAAACAAAGAAACUCAUCCAAAGUUUCUCUGCAAAUACAUGAUUGAGUUAAAGGAGCUGUGGAAUAAAAAAAACAAAAACAAAAACAAAACAAAAAAACAGGCUAAGCUAGGAAGUUACAAAGAGUGUUACACUGCGCCUUUAAGGAAAACUUUCCUUCAUCAUUCCUGUAAGCGUGGACAUGCAACUUCUCUCACCACAAAGGUACAGAAAACAUUUCUAAAAAUGUGCUGAUAACAGAACAAGGAGGCAUGAUUUGAAAAGCUGCACAAAAUCCUGCGUUUUCAUACCCCCUAGCAUAUGGUCAUGCAUGCAGUUAAUGGACACUGAGCAAAUCAC